UUGACCUCAAAUCAGGCA
rnacentral:rRNA from 1 species